rnacentral:rRNA from 1 species
CCUACGGGUGGCAGCAGUGAGGAAUAUUGGUCAAUGGACGAGAGUCUGAACCAGCCAAGUAGCGUGAAGGAUGACUGCCCUAUGGGUUGUAAACUUCUUUUAUAUGGGAAUAAAACGUUCCACGUGUGGGAUUUUGUAUGUACCAUAUGAAUAAGGAUCGGCUAACUCCGUGCCAGCAGCCGCGGUAAUACGGAGGAUCCGAGCGUUAUCCGGAUUUAUUGGGUUUAAAGGGAGCGUAGGUGGAUUGUUAAGUCAGUUGUGAAAGUUUGCGGCUCAACCGUAAAAGUGCAGUUGAAACUGGCAGUCUUGAGUACAGUAGAGGUGGGCGGAAGUCGGGGUGUAGCGGUGAAAUGCUUAGAUAUCACGAAGAACUCCGAUUGCGAGGGCAGUUCACUGGACUGCACUGACACUGAGGCUCGAAAGUGUGGGUAUCAAACAGGAUUAGAUACCCCAGUAGUC